GAUAAAUGUAAUUUUGUUGUUUAUUGGAAUGAUUUCCAUCACAUUUGGAGGAUGUAGGUCGCUUCAGAAAUACCGAGAAUAUAAUUUUGAAUCAGAAUCAGAAUCAGUUUUGAUAUCUCUGGCGAAUGCCGUGAAAUUUGUUUUUCUUUUUAGAUAAAUGGGUCGGGGGUCGAACUGAGAGAAGGCGGACUGUGUGAUUAGCACCUCUAGUGCCAGCAACCCAUUAAAAAGGUGCCCCCCAUCUCUCCGCCUCCCCCACACAGCCUUCAAUUUCACUCAAUUCCCAAAUGUAAAAAAAAAACCGGGCACCACCCUAUUUAGCCCCAAUCCGUACUUGUGUAAAAUUGUAACGUCUUGUCUAAAGGAUGCAAAGAACAAGGUUGUGAAUUUAUCCAACGUUAAACACUGACAUUGAAAGAAACUAAAACCGGUAGCCACAGGUAUAUUGAAAGGGGCAUGUUUAACUCCGAAAAAUAACUGAAUCCAACCUUGAUUAAGUGCCCCGCCUGUUCGCGCCAUUAAGAAUGCUGCAGACGACCCUAUCAAGGUCGUUUCCCAACAGUCACCAGAUAUAAAUAUAUACUUUUUUUUUCCAAAAGGCAACAGCCGAAAUGUUCUGUCAAGUUGGAAAGAAAUGCGUGCGAUGUCGAAAUCUCACGUGUUAAGAUCACUAGUUUGCAGUUUACUACGCGUUUGUCAGAUGCCCGGGACAUAAAAACCAGUCUCAUCUAAUUUUAAACAUCGAAUGUAUGUCUUGGACAGGCUCCCACUGUCAAGAAUCCCGGGUUGUAUAAAAUGUGCGCGUGUGUCUCGUUUCGUGAGGAGUUGGGGUGUUAUUCGUUUACGGUUGAGGAGGAAUUUGCUUUGGGGAAAACUGUCGUAUCAGCGACUACCGAGCUUCAAAUUCCCCCCUUUCUGCGGGAGAAGCUGAUCCCUCUCGACAAACACACCAAGCACCACCUGUCUAGUCAUCUGUCAUAAGUUGAAAACGGAGAUGAACCGUACGAAUCUGUGGCCUUUCGACAGAAAAAAAUACUCUAGACCCCAAAGGUCUGAAUGAGUUCUAGUUGGGACCCCCCAAUAAAUGGAAUCAAAUUUGUUUCAGAUUCCAGAAUAACUCAAACAACUUUGUUGCCACUUCACCCCGAGACCGAAUGCAUAAUGUGCAUUUAAUUACGAUUAUUUUUUUAUCCUUUUAUGGUUCUUUUUCCAGAGACAGUCCGGAUGAAUUAUGAAACCCAGAGGAAAAGAAAUGUUACCUUUGACUUAAUUAGACUUUGUCCCGGGUUAUUUUUGUCAGGCAAAACGAAUAUUUGAAAGGACUGAAGUUUUGCACAUCAAAGGCAGGGUUUGAAUGUUUUUGUGAAAGGGAAACAUUUUGUGCAGAAUGUUUAGAUAAGCAGCCCCAAAUGUCCUUAUCCGGGAUUUAGUAUUUUAAGAGGCACCUCCAGAAGGCAUGGCCGUUGAUGGCUUUACGGAGCACAUGCAGAAGGAUUCAGCAGUGACGAGUAGCUGUUUUAAAAAGCAUUCAAUAAACAGUCAUUUCGAUGCCCAGUUCUCCAUCUCGCUAGACGUCAGCAUAUUAAAGUUCAGAAAGAAACCCGGGCUGAAAGUUUAUAAAUAAGUCUUCUAUCAAGUUCAGUAACAGGUGUGACCUACCCUGUUCAAAAACUGCAGGGUUUAAAGUAGCUUCACGGGAAUAUCUCCACACUUGACACAUGAUUUGAGUGCACUAACAUUUGCCAGAUCCACAGAAGUUUUCAGUCUGGUGGCUUGGCCAUGCCAACCCUAAUUGACACAUACAGCAGCCUGCUCUAAUUAUUGUCUUUAGCAUUGAAAUGCUACAGGCUCAUAUUAAUCCCCCAAUUUAAUGAUUACUUUCAAUAAUUAACGUUAACAACUUUGAUGCUGUUUAUUAUGCUCUUAAAGCUCUUUUGUGAUGGAGCACACAAAAGAAGAUAGAAUCCUAUAAGACCAUAAGAUAUAGGAGCAGAAUUAGGCCAUUUGGCCCAUUGAGUCUGCUCCAUCAUGGCUAAUCCAAUUUUCCUCUCAGCCCCAAUCUUCUGCCUUCAUCCCAUAUCCCUUGAUGCCCUGACCAAUCAAGAAUCCAUCAACGAAUAGCACAGAAAUAAGCCAUUCGGCCCUCGAUCCCCUGCUGACCAUCAAGGACCCAUUAAUCAGCACUCAGUUUGUGUCCUGUGCCUUUGUGAAUGAGAGAUCAACCAAACAGAUUUUAAAAAAUUCUUGAGAUGAGAUAAAGAAAGAGCAUCAGUACAAAAGGCUGGUAUUGUUGUGCAUUUCAGACAAUUUCAGACCUACCCCCUUGUCUUCUCAUACAAUGCAUUCUACAAUAAAACAGAUUAUAAUUAAGAAGUACCUUUAGUAUACAUUCAGUAGCCACUUCAUCAGGCACCUCCCAUACAUAAUGAAGUGGCCACAGAGUGUACGUUCAUGGUCUUCUGCUGCUGUAGCCCAUCCACUUAAACAUUCAACUUGUUGUGCAUUCAGAGAUGCUCUUCUGCACACCACUGUUGUAACGUGUGGUUAUCUGAGUUACCGUCACCUUCCUGUCAGCUUGAACCAGUCUGGCCAUUCUCCUCUGACUUCUCUCAUGAACAAGGUGUUCUUGCCCACAGAACUGGGUAUCUUUUUGUUCACCACACAAUUCUCUAUAAACUCUAGAAACUGCUGUGGGUGAAAACCCCAGGAGAUCAGCAGUUUCUGAGAUACUCAAACCACCCCGUCUGGCACCAAUAAUCAUCCCACGGUCAAAGUCACUUAGAUCACAUUUUCCCCCCAUUCUGAUGUUUGGUCUGAACAACAACUAAACCUCUUGGCCACGUCUGCAUGCUCUUAUGCAUUCAGUUGCCACCGCAUGAUUGACUGGAUUAUUGCAUUAAUGAGCAGGUGUUCUGGUAUACCUAAUAAAGUGGCCACAGAGUGUAUAGCAGACUGCUGUAAUUACUGCCUUUAGCUUUGAACUGUAACAGGCUCAAAUUAUUCCUUGAAUGUAAUGAUUACCUUCAUUAAUUAUCAUUAACAUCUUUGGUGCCUUUUAUUAUGUCCUUAAAACUCCUUUGGUGACAAAGAAGACAGAGUCGCACACCACAGAAAUCGGCUCUUCAGCCCACAAUUCCAUGCAGACCUUCAACGACCCAUGUACAUGAAUUCCAUUAAUCAUUAACUCAGUUUAUGGACUUGGAGGGAUCCCAAGCACCUGGAGGAAAACCACACGCUCACGGGAGGAACAUACAAACUCCUGACAGAGGACGCCAGAAUUGAACUCGGAACUCCAGUGCCCGAGCUGUAGUAGCAUCACGCUACCUUAGUGAAGACCAGGGAAAUUCAGAAGUGUCCUUCCAUUUAAAGCACAUAGGGAUGCAGCAAGGACUGGAUUCUCUUUGGCCCAUUUUGGCGGUGUUGGAACACAAGUUGAAGUUGACUUUUUGAGGGGUAUCUCCAACGUGGGCAGCAUCCAUCAUCAAGGACCCUCACCAUCCAGGACCCGCCCUUAUUGUUACCAUCAGGGAGGAGGCACACGAGACCAAAGUCACAAACUCAACAUUUUAGGAACAGCUUCUUCCCUUCCACCAUCAGAUUUCUGAAUGGACAAUAAACCCACGAUCACAACCUUUGUAUUGCUUAUACAUUGUAUUUUAUUAUAAGAUAGUAAUUUGUACGUUUUGCACUGUACUGCUGCCUGGGAUAAUAAACCUGACUUUAAAUCUGA